rnacentral:rRNA from 1 species
CAGUCGCCACGGUAAAACGGAGGGUGCAAGCGUUAAUCGGAAUUACUGGGCGUAAAGCGCACGCAGGCGGUCUGACAAGUCAGAUGUGAAAUCCCCGGGCUUAACCUGGGAACUGCAUUUGAAACUGUCAGGCUGGAGUCUUGUAGAGGGGGGUGGAAUUCCAGGUGUAGCGGUGAAAUGCGUAGAGAUCUGGAGGAAUACCGGUGGCGAAGGCGGCCCCCUGGACAAAGACUGACGCUCAGGUGCGAAAGCGUGGGGAGCAAACAGGAUUAGAGACCCCUGUAGUCCCUGUCUCUUAUAU